GACGAACGCUGGCGGCGCGCCUAACACAUGCAAGUCGUACGCGCGACUGAGCUCUCGCUUCCUCGCCCGAGUGGCCAACGGGUGAGUGACUCGUGAGCAACCUGCCUCAACAGGGGGGACAACCGUUGGAAACGACUGCUAAUACCGCAUAAGACCCCGGGUCGGGUUCGACCUGAGGGAAAAGGAGCCAUCCGCUUUGCGAUGGCCGCGCGUACGAUUAGCUAGUUGGAGAGGUAAUGGCCCACCAAGGCGACGAUCGGUAGCCGGACUGAGAGGUUGAGCGGCCACAGUGGGACUGAGACACGGCCCAGACUCCUACGGGAGGCAGCAGUGGGGAAUAUUGCACAAUGGGGGAAACCCUGAUGCAGCGACGCCGCGUGGAGGAAGAAGGUCUUCGGAUUGUAAACUCCUGUUGUUGGGGAAGAUAAUGACGGUACCCAACAAGGAAGUGACGGCUAACUACGUG
rnacentral:rRNA from 1 species